rnacentral:rRNA from 1 species
UACAGAGGUCUCAAGCGUUGUUCGGAUUCACUGGGCGUAAAGGGUGCGUAGGUGGUGAGGUAAGUCGGAUGUGAAAGCUCGGAGCUCAACUCCGAAAUGGCAUUGGAAACUACCUUGCUAGAGGGUUGGAGGGGGGACUGGAAUGCUUGGUGUAGCAGUGAAAUGCGUAGAUAUCAAGCGGAACACCAGUGGCGAAGGCGAGUCCCUGGACAACUCCUGACACUGAGGCACGAAAGCUAGGGGAGCAAACAGG